AUAUCUCUCCGUACGGGAAGGAUGAGAAGCUUCGACCAAGGUUCGAUUCGAGCGCAGCGAGAAAGCGUUGCCGCAGGCAACGAC
rnacentral:sRNA from 1 species